rnacentral:rRNA from 2 species
CCGUAGGUGAACCUGCGGAAGGAUCAACCCCUGUGGGUAUAGUGAGAUGGUUUUUCCAACCCAACCCGUGCGCACAUCCAUUGGACUGGAUGCACGGGUGUGUGUGGUCU